CAACCUCUGCAGGCUGGCGGCCCCUCAGGCCCAGCUGGGUGAGCAUCUUUUCCAAGCCUCACCCUCAAACACUACUAGAAAA
rnacentral:pre_miRNA from 1 species